ACACAGCCACUGGAGAGGCCAGAUGCCUAUGGCGGAGCUACUAGCUGGGAGACCACGGCAAUCGGCGACCGACCCAAGGAUUGGCCAGACCAGCCACUGCCUGAAGCUAGCCCAAGCCCGGAGACACUGCCAAGCUUGCCGCUAGCCAUUUACCCCGAGGAGCCGCCAAGCCAACCGUGCACCAGUUACCACGAAGAGCCCAUGGUGUGUGACCCCUUGGAGGACGCCGUCCGGACCCAGGAACGUGUGCGUUAGAAGAUAAGUGUGAAGGCCAUCACAAGACCAGAUGUUCUAAGGAGAAACCGAGGACAGAUGUAUGGGCACCAGGAGGUUGUAAUGCGCCCCUACUGAAAUGUCAGAGGAGGGCAGAUUGACGACUCUAAAGAUGAGACAGGCACCUAUCAAUGGGGACAAGAUAACUAUGAUCAAAAUCAGCAUGGGGUAACUCCCUGAAAGACUUGAUGAAAGAACAAGAUAAAGGAUGAGAAGGACAAUUUAAGAAAACAAGCACUCGUCAAACAACAAUUGAUUACAGCAUGAGGGUGCAAAACUCAUUGGCCCCAAUGAAGGAAAAUCACUAUAUAAACAGGGUGCCUUGCCAUGAAACUUUGGGUUCAUCUUGCCAAGACUUCCCUGGAGCAUUGUGUCACGACGGACAGAACCUGGCUCCUACCUACCCGUGAUCAACCUAGCUGGUCACUAGAUUGAUCUGGACUCUGGACUGUUAACUAUAACAUUGACUGGCGGGACAGUGUGUGAGGGUGUGUGUGAUUGAAUGCAUAUGCUAAUUGUUGUAUCUUCAGUAAAUGCAGCAUAUUGCCUUUUCCCCUGAAAAA